ACCAGUCAUUGGAUUAGGGCUCACCGAAAUCCAGUCUGACCUAAUUUUAAGUUUCUUGCAUCUGUGAAAACCCCAUUUGCAAACAAGAGCUCAUUCACAAGUUCUAAGAAGAUGUGGAUUUGUUGGGUGUGUGUGUGUGUGUGUGUGUGUGUGUCACCAUUCAACCUGGUACAUUAGUGAGACUCAGACAUUGCUGAUGCAUAUCAGAAGUACUUAGAGGAAGGAAAUGAAAAUGUUCACAGCUGAAGUCUGCGGACCCUACGUGCCUCACCUGCGUAAUGUCACAUCCCCCGCGACAGCUGUGGUAGUGUACAUGGUCUCUGUUGUUCCCAUGAUACAGGCAAGGAAACGGGGGUACAGCCAGGACCUGAACCCAGGCACUUUAACUCCAGAGACCCCCUUUAAGACUAGGCUGGCCUGGCUGCCUUUUCCCAGUGACUUAUAAUUCAUCAGAAUAAGAACCAAUCCUCUGUAGCUACCUACUUCAGGAAGUACGUCUCCCACCAACAUUCUUUGUCCUUGUAUUUUCUCUGUACGUGGCUUUCCAAGUACUUGCAGCUCCACACUGACCGCCAGAUGUCUGGGGUCAGACGCCCCCUGCCUGGGCCUUUGGGGCUGGUGGAUCAUAGCCCUCCUUUUCCAGUAACUCCUGGACUGGCUUUUCUUUCCCCAGGCCCACAGCACCCAAUUCGGGGAGUUCUCUGAAGUGGAGGACCAGGAUGACUAUUACAGCAUGGCUGCUGGCUGCAUCCACAGCCAGGACCAGCACGGGGUGUACGUCAUGUAUGAUGAAGCCCUGAGUGACCUGCAGGGGCUGGAGGCUGAGCUGCUGCUUGUGGCCAGCCAUUACAUCCAGAAAGAAAAAGGUCACAAAGAGGGCAGUGAGGUGGAAAGUGGCCAGCACUGGGGAUGGGCCCACGCGAGUGUGGACAGGUUUGCAGUGCUGUAUCACCUGUGGACUUGGGAAGCCACUCUUCUGGAAAACAAGCGCCAGCUUCUUGAUAGCUACUUCGAAGCGUACCAGCACACGCUGGAUCCUCAAGAGAGGUUGGCCUUAGCUCAAGUGAUGACUGACAUCAUGCACCGGCGCCCCAGGUUCGAUCUCGGCCACGCCUAUUUCAUUAAGGCCUACCAAGAGGAGUGCACCUGCCUGAGGUUUCACCUGCAGCUAGUGAGGCGCAUCCUCCACCAGCAGGUAAGUGCAGCUGCGUCUUCAGCUACCCCGUGCGACUGAGGGGUGGGAAGCAUGGACCGGAAAUGAAAGGGUGCUUUCUUCCAGGCAGUGUGUGCAGCAUGUGUUUGUAGGCUCAUUUGCAUUGUUGAAUUCCAGGCAUAACUGUGACCUUAAAGGAAGGUUUCCAACCCUAAUUACAGUUAAUGGUCCACAGGGAAUUCGAUCACAGUGUUUUCCGGUGGUGGAAGAAGAACUAGCUAGUGAUAAAUCUUUCUCCAAGCCUGAUUGUGCAAGUGGCAUUUCUAUUUAAGCUUUUUGGGACUAUUUUUCGGACCUGGAAAGAAAUGAUCCCAUUCUCAGUCCUCCAGGGAAAUAGGCUACAGUGGGAAGCAAACAGGAGACGCAGGAUAUUAGAAUCUGGUGGGAAGUUUUUUUCCAGAGAGUGAAUGAUGUGACUGAAAGACGUUUUCUUUUGCUCUUGACAUUGGUUGCUGUUGCUUCCCUGGGCUGACCCUGGGCUCAGACUGAGAGUCCAGCAGGUCCAUUGCAAAUGACCUUCCAAGUAGUGUCUGGGUGAAAAUUCGUCAGAUGGUAAAGACGUGCGAAGGGAGAUACCCUUCUCAUGUCAAGGCUCAUAACUCACACCCCUGGGAGGGCUCAACCUUUUCUAAUUUUAAUGCUCAUGCUGCAUUUAUAGAUAGAGUGUCAGCGGGAAUAUGUCCAGAGGCUUUGGCGAGAAGAUCAUCUCGAUCUUGAUGAUAGGAAUAAAUUCGGCCUUCCCCUCA
ensembl:lncRNA